rnacentral:rRNA from 1 species
UACGAAGGGGGCUAGCGUUGCUCGGAAUUACUGGGCGUAAAGGGCGCGUAGGCGGACAGUUUAGUCAGAGGUGAAAGCCCAGGGCUCAACCUUGGAAUUGCCUUUGAUACUGGCUGUCUUGAGUACGGGAGAGGUGAGUGGAACUCCGAGUGUAGAGGUGAAAUUCGUAGAUAUUCGCAAGAACACCAGUGGCGAAGGCGGCUCACUGGCCCGAUACUGACGCUGAGGCACGAAAGCGUGGGGAGCAAACAGG